rnacentral:rRNA from 2 species
ACUGAAAAUCUUCGGAAUUGUAGUCUGGAGAAGUAUAGUCAGCCUGUAGUUGCGGGUAAAGUCUUCUGGAAAGGAGCGCCACGGAGGGUGAUAGCCCCGUUCGUACCUGCGAUGAAGGUAUACGACCUACUUUCAACGAGUCGAGUUGUUUGGGACUGCAGCUCUAAGUGGGUGGUAAAUUCCAUCUAAAGCUAAAUAUUGGUGGGAGACCGAUAGCGAACAAGUACCGUGAGGGAAAGAUGCAAAGAACUUUGAAAAGAGAGUUAAAUAGUACCUGAAAUUGCUGAAAUGGAACCGAUGGGAAGCAGUGUUGGUGAUUGUAUUUAUACAGUUACAAGCCAGGCUUGUUUCGUGGUGCGGGAAAGGCCAGUGAACCUGUAUGGGUCAUUAGUGCCAUCGUGCUGCGGAAUGACUCUGACGAAAUGCUUCUUAUCAUCCCGUCUUGAAACACGGACCAAGGAGUCUAACAUGUGUGCGAGUGUUCGGGGUCUAUCCCCCAGCGCGAAAUUAACGUAAAGGUGAAUUUAUUCACUUAGGUAGGAUCCUUAGGUGCACUAUCGACCGACCAUGAUCCUCCGGGAGAAAGGUUUGAGUGUGAGCAUACAUGUUGGGACCCGAAAGAUGGUGAACUAUGCUUGAGUAGGGCGAAGCCAGGGGAAACUCUGGUGGAGGUCCGCAGCGAUUCU